UGGCGGACGGGUGAGUAACGCGUGGGUAUCUGUCUCUGGGUGGGGGAUAACCGUGGGAAACUACGGCUAAUACCGCAUGACACCCGAGGGUCAAAGGCGCAAGCCGCCUGGAGAGGAGCCCGCGUACGAUUAGCUUGUUGGCGGGGUAAUGGCCCACCAAGGCGACGAUCGUUAGCUGGUCUGAGAGGAUGAUCAGCCACACUGGGACUGAGACACGGCCCAG
rnacentral:rRNA from 1 species